CAGUCUCUAAGUUACUUCUCACAAGACGCAUGUCCGUUCUCUCCUUCUCCACGUGGUUCUUUCUAACCCAAGCAAGAAAACGGUUGUGUUAGGUUCACCGCUGUUCAUAAGCUUUGAAUACGUCGGCCUAACUUUUAUAACAGCAAAAUGUCGUACAAGAAGGAAGGAGUACAGGAAGAGUCUCAGGUCCACAAGAUCAGGAUCACUCUCACCAGCCGAAACGUCAAAAGUCUUGAGAAAGUGUGUGGCGACCUCAUUCGUCGGGCCAAGGACUCUGACCUCAAAGUGAAGGCCUAAGGUCCUGAAGAUCACCACCAGGAAGACCCCCUGUGGUGAGGGCUCCAAGACUUAGGACAGGUUCGAGAUGAAAAUCUACAAGCGUGUCAUUGAUUUGCACAGUGCUGCCGAGACUGUGAAGCAAAUCGUAUCCUGAAAUAUUUAUUUU